rnacentral:rRNA from 1 species
GACGAACGCUGGCGGCGUGCCUAAUACAUGCAAGUAGAACGCACAGUUUAUACCGUAGCUUGCUACACCAUAGACUGUGAGUUGCGAACGGGUGAGUAACGCGUAGGUAACCUGCCUGGUAGCGGGGGAUAACUAUUGGAAACGAUAGCUAAUACCGCAUAAUAUUAAUUAUUGCAUGAUAAUUGAUUGAACGAUGCAACUGCAUCACUACCAGAUGGACCUGCGUUGUAUUAGCUAGUAGGUGAGGUAACGGCUCACCUAGGCGACGAUACAUAGCCGACCUGAGAGGGUGAUCGGCCACACUGGGACUGAGACACGGCCCAGACUCCUACGGGAGGCAGCAGUAGGGAAUCUUCGGCAAUGGACGAAAGUCUGACCGAGCAACGCCGCGUGAGUGAAGAAGGUGUUCGGAUCGUAAAGCUCUGUUGUAAGAGAAGAACGGGUGUGAGAGUGGAAAGUUCACACUGUGACGGUAGCUUACCAGAAAGGGACGGCUAACUACGUG